CUUUUUCUUCGUAACUUCAUGGCAACAUGACCUACAGUUACUCAUUUUUCAGGCCUGAGUUGAUCGUUAAUCAUCUUAAUUAUGUUCAUUCUGAAGCCAACAGGAGAACCAAGACCAAAACUUUAUUGUCUCUGCUUUCAUUUCUUGAUGAAACCUCUGGACUAAGCACACAUCUUCCUUGUUUAUCUCUCUCAAAGGAGUGUGGAGUGCUUCAUCUGGACAUCCACGGGAAGAAGGAAGACAUGAGAAGCACAACUUCUUUUUCUUCAUCAAGAGGAAAUGUGAAUAUCUACAUCUAUAAUCAAUAUGAAACUACAUAUAGAGACAUAGAACAGGCAGAGAAAACUGGGAGAAUCUUCUAACUUUAAAGUGUUAAAACUUAGACCUCCUCAAGAUUUUUUCUGUGAUUUGGCACA
rnacentral:lncRNA from 1 species